CCCAAAGCUCAACUAUCAGCACAUAAUAACCAAGAAGAAAAGUGUGCAAGCCAUCUGAAGAAGCCAAACUGAAUGUAUUUAUAUAUGUAAAGAAAAAGGUGACAGAGAGAGAGC